rnacentral:rRNA from 1 species
CUUCUUCGGAGGGUAUGCUUAAAGAGGGGCUUGCGUCACAUUAGUUAGUUGGUAAGGUAAAGGCUUACCAAGACGAUGAUGUGUAGCUGGACUGAGAGGUUGAACAGCCACAUUGGGACUGAGACACGGCCCAAACUCCUACGGGAGGCAGCAGUAGGGAAUUUUCGGCAAUGGAGGAAACUCUGACCGAGCAACGCCGCGUGAACGACGAAGUACUUCGGUAUGUAAAGUUCUUUUAUUGAAGAAGAAAAAAUAGUGGAAAAACUAUAUUGACGUUAUUCAAUGAAUAAGCCCCGGCUAACUAUGUGCCAGCAGCCGCGGUAAUACAUAGGGGGCGAGCGUUAUCCGGAAUUAUUGGGCGUAAAGGGUGCGUAGGCGGUUUGAUAAGUCUCUAGUUUAAUUUCAGCGCUUAACGCUGUCCUGCUAGAGAAACUGUCUUACUAGAGUGAGAUAGAGGCAAGCGGAAUUCCAUGUGUAGCGGUAAAAUGUGUAAAUAUGUGGAGGAACACCAGAGGCGUAGGCGGCUUGCUGGGUCUUUACUGACGCUGAGGCACGAAAGCGUGGGGAGCAAACAGGAUUAGAUACCCUGGUAGUCCACGCCGUAAACGAUGAGUACUAAGUGUCGGGGCAACUCGGUACUGAAGUUAACACAUUAAGUACUCCGCCUGAGUAGUACGUACGCAAGUAUGAAACUUAAAGGAAUUGACGGGAUCCCGCACAAGCGGUGGAUCAUGUUGUUUAAUUCGAAGAUACACGAAAAACCUUACCAGGUCUUGACAUAUUCUGCGAAUCUAUAGAAAUAUAGUGGAGGUUACCAGAAAUACAGGUGGUGCAUGGUUGUCGUCAGCUCGUGUCGUGAGAUGUUAGGUUAAGUUCUAAAACGAGCGCAACCCUUAUCGUUAGUUACCAGCAUGUUAUGAUGGGGACUUUAGCGAGACUGCCAAUGAAAAAUUGGAGGAAGGUGAGGAUUACGUCAAAUCAUCAUGCCCCUUAUGAUCUGGGCUACAAACGUGAUACAAUGGCUAUUACAAAGAGUAGCUGAAACGCGAGUUUUUAGCCAAUCUCAAAAAAAUAGUCUCAGUUCGGAU